GCGUCCUAAAUCAGGCCAGGACUGGGAGCAGGAGAGCCUGACCCUAACAUCUUUUCUCAUAAAACCAAUGAGCCCUGCUGAGCGUCAAGGGUAUUGCUGUAAAGGGCAAGCAGCCCUGAGCCAGGAGCCAGGCCCAGGAAUGAAAGAGAAAAUCUGGCUUCCCAGUGGGAAGAAUGGAGGGAAGCCGGCAUUCAGCAUGCCCCAUGGUCCCAGUUUGGGGGCAGCACCCAGCUUCUGAGUUCGCUGUUUGCUCGGGGCAGAUGGCAGUGCCAGAUGGCGGCCCCUGUGGAAGCAAGAUAAGAUGAACUCCUCUUCGCCCGACUGACCUGUGCACUCUCCUCCCCUGACUCGCUUGAGUGACUCAUGCCCUCCCCUCUCCUUGGCCAACUCGCACCCACAUCCUGACCCUAUAUAAGAGAACCUAGCCAUCCCCUUGGGCUGACACCCACACACUGGUAUCAGCCCGGGGUGAGAGAAGGUAAUAAAAUUUCUUAAGCUCUCAAAA